UCACUGUCUAAUCAUCUUCUUCCAGUUACUGAUGGCGUCAUCGCCCUACUGGAACCAGAUGCCCUCACCAACCUCCAUGCAAUUGUAACAAUUCUUCACCUUCCACAGAUUAUAAAUAAUGUCUUGAUAAUUGCUGAACACAACUGUUAAUGUCAUUACAGGAAGAUGAUGGAGAAAACAUUGUCAGCGGCAUUUGAAAGGGAAGAGGAAAGGCCUAUUGAGGAUGAAGAGAGGCCAUCCACUUCUAAUUCACAGCUUACCUCUCUUCAGUCAAAGAGCUCUAUAAAAUCUAUCUGGAAAAAACAAAUAAAUAAAGCAGACUUGGAAAUGGACCACAUAAGGCAAAAGAUGCAAAAGGAUGCUUUGGAGAUCCAAAUUUUGGAACAUAAGUUAAAGG